rnacentral:misc_RNA from 1 species
GAUGAAGAACGUAGCGAAAUGCGAUAAGUAAUGUGAAUUGCAGAAUUCAGUGAAUCAUCGAAUCUUUGAACGCACAUUGCGCCCGCCAGUAUUCUGGCGGGCAUGCCUGUUCGAGCGUCAUUUCCACCAUCAGGCCCCCGGGCCUGUGUUGGGGACCUGCGGCUGCCCGCAGGCCCCGAAAUUCAGUGGCGGUCGCGCCGUAGCAACCGAGCGUAGUAACUAAAACGUCUCGCUCUGGCUCGCUGGGCGCGCUCCGGCCGUAAAACACCCCCCCUUUUCGCAAAGGUUGACCUCGGAUCAGGUAGGAAUACCCGCUGAACUUAAGCAUAUCAAUAAGCGGAGG